GAUCCUGGCUCAGGAUGAACGCUAGUUACAGGCUUAACACAUGCAAGUCGAGGGGCAGCAUGGUCUUAGCUUGCUAAGGCCGAUGGCGACCGGCGCACGGGUGAGUAACACGUAUCCAACCUGCCGUCUACUCUUGGACAGCCUUCUGAAAGGAAGAUUAAUACAAGAUGGCAUCAUGAGUUCACAUGUUCACAUGAUUAAAGGUAUUCCGAUAGACGAUGGGG
rnacentral:rRNA from 1 species